AUGUAUUUUCUUUGUCAUCAGGUGACAAUAUUUGGGGAGAGUGCAGGUGCUCAGUCGGUGAGUCUUCACCUGAUGAUCCAGAGCAGCAAGCCCCUGUUCAAACAGGCCGUCCUGCAAAGUCUGCCAUUCUCCAUCCCGCUGAAGAGCAGACACGACGCAUUGAAGCUGGGGAAAGACUUCGCCAAACAGACAAACUGCUCUGUGAGCGACAUCGUCUGCCUGCUGUCUCUCGCUCCGCAGGCCGUCCUGGCCGCCCAGAUGAAAACAAGUUCCAAGGUUGUGAACCCGUUCAGGUUCCUUGAGGUGUUUGAGACGUGGGGUCCUUUUAUUGAUGGGGAGUUCAUAAAAGAGCAAGCUGUCACUGCAUUCCAGAAGGGCCACUGGCAGAAAGAGAAGCCGGUGCUGCUGGGUACGACUUCAGAGGAGGGCGUGAUCUUUGCGUACGGAGUCUUCAAUAAGCCGGUCUCCGCAUUGGAAAGCGCUGUGUACGUCACCGCCAUCUUUAAACAACACGCACUGCGGAUCCUGCACAAGUAUCUGCCCCUGUACAGGGAUGCUGACCGCAGGGGUAUGCUGGCUCAGGUAACACAAGUCUUUUCAUUUUCAGCAGAUUUAGAGCUCCAACACAUUUUCACUCCCGACUCACCGUUUAGUCAGUGGCCCUAUGCCUCAAACCACAAUGCCCAAGUCUUUUUCUAAAGUAACCAUCCCGAAUACUACAUUUACAGUGUCUUCCAACGUAGGUUUACUAGCCUUCGGGGUGAUCUGGUUAGGUUUACCCAAAAAGCUUAGGACGAGUUAAAAAUCAGUAGGCUAAAAAAAAGUUUCCUUGUGAAAAGCCCUGUGUUUGUUUGAAUCUUGCUGUUUAUGCCACAUGUGUUUCUCGGAGUACUAAUGAAGUUGGCAUCCUCCAAUCGAGGAUUCAUAAACACACUUUAGUGAUUAGUGAUGAUUUAGUGUUAGGGUCCAGAGUAAUCUCAUUUGUAGAGUUACUUGUUGAGGUAAACAACAGGAGGUGGCAGCAAAGAGCAUAUAUUUUAGUUCAUUUAUGUUUGAAUGAGCACCCAAUCUAUUUAAAGCUGUGCUCGGCAAGUAUACCAAUAAAGUGUCUCCAGUUUCAGCUGUUAGCUAUCAGACUAACUAACAUAUCUCAAAAAGACUCUUCUCAAUUUCAAAGACUCUCAAUUUGUAGCAAUAUUAACUGUCUACAAAUGACUUUUUGACAUUUUGGAUCGUUGUUUGUCAAUCUUUUGGUCAGUGCUGUCUUAUGGUCGGCUCAGGUUACCUGGAGUUUCUGCGCCAAAGUUCUCCUCUCAAAUGGCUCUUUUAGGAGAGAUUAUGGUCGGUUCUUCUACAUCUAUAAUCAGCAUUUGAUCAAACUGCUUCACUCCUGUGGGACAGCUCUAACUGUCUACUUGUCACAUGACGUGCAACUUACUAUUUCAUCAUAUUUUACAAAUAAAGCUAGGUACAUUUCAUAUUUCAAAAACACAAAUAUUGAAAAUUUGUAUAAUCUUAUUUAAAUUUUAUUUUUUUUUGUUGCUCAGGGUGUACCUCGUCCAGCUGAGUGUCGUGUUAGGUGCUAAUCAACUAAUGUUAAAAUGCUUUCUUGCAAUAUUUCCACUUGGCUGUUCACUCCUUGUCUUGGUUAUCAUUCAUGUAUAUCACAGUGGAAACCUUUAGUAGUUUUCUGUCAGGCUUUUACCAAAGAAAAGUGCAAGGCGGCGGCCUCGGGGGCGGCACAGGGGGUCAGGAGGGGACGUCCCUGGACAUGCCACAGCUCACCGUGCACCAAGUACAACUGCAGGUUGGACUUCAUCACGUUCUGCAUCGCUUCGGAAAAAGGCAUUUCUCCAGAGUAUCUGGGAGGUCAGCACAAAUGUUGCAAAGCUUGGUUGUGUAGGGAAGCCAUGGAAAGUUUCUUCACGUGAUAGAAAACACGUAGCCCUGUCAAAAUCAUCUUGGCUUCAUUUGUAGAGAGGAAGUGUUUGGUUCCCCUUAUUUAAUGUAAAAGUAACUGUGCUGGGAAAAAGUGGAGCUUGUUUGUUGAGGGACAGAUAAGAGACAUGAGGGAGAAUGAUGUUGAAACUAGUGACGUGCCAAAUAGAAAGCACUUUUCUCUGUUAUCGUAGCGUCUGACUAAUGCUGCCUGUCUAAUUGGUGCAGAUGCUCCAAACUAAAACUGCUAAAUAAACAAGCAAGGACCGACUGUAACCCAGACGCCAUUAUUCAAAGCUCCAGAGUUGGAAAAUGUGACUUUGGUGUGUUUGUGAGCAGAGAGUUGUGAUGAAACACAACAAUGGACGCUACAAAGAAGAUUUGAAUGGUAUUUGGUUUUCGUUGUUGUAUUUUGUUGCAUAACAACAAAGAGCCAAGAAAAUAUGAAGACAUUAUUUUUCUGAUUAUUGCCGAUAACACAUGAAAAAUACCAGGAAAAAUGCCCCAUAUAUGGUUCCGUGUAUAACAUUACUCCGUCUGGUCGACAGGGGGGCACAGACAGUCGCGAGCUACUUUUCACUCAACGUUUCAAUCCAACGGAUGGCGAUCUACCCCCCCCCCCAAACCAAUCAAUAUAAAAAAACACAACGAGCCUCUUGUCUGUCAGAAGCGAUCUGAAAGUGACAUGAUUUUUUUUUUUUUCAAAGGCAGGUGAUCUACCGGCACUGCGUUGGUGAACAACCUGGUCCUCCUGGUCUAACCAGGAAUCAGGAAUCAGGAAACAUUUAUUGCCAAAAUAUGUCAAACAUACAAGGAAUUUGUCUUGGCAGUUGGUGCGCAUGCACUCACAGAGUGCGACCCCCAGUGGACUUUCUAGGAAUAGCAGCUACUUUUAUAGAAAUGCAAUUUAUGUCUUUCUGUAAUUCUCACACCGCACUGGACUCACCCGGCGGGUCGGAUUGGCCUUGAGUUUGACACCUGUGCUUUAGUUUAAGAUUCGUAACCCAUACAAAAUGCUGUAGCAGUCUGCAUGAUUCACUGUUGAAAACUAGACACUAAAUAUGCACGUCUGCCACCUUGAUAAAAGGUCUCAAUAUCGAAAUGCAGACACAAAAAUGUAUGCAUUUCCUUUGCUGCUAACAACUAUUAUUCAAGUUUACUGACAAAAUGUAAAGUUCAGAGAGAAAUCUGCAGCUCAUACUGUAGAAGGCAGCUUUUGAUCAGACGGGUAAAUUGCAUAUGAUUAACAAUAUUCCUACUGAUGCUAGCUAUAUAUAUACGCUAUAUACUUUUAGACCGUAACAUGUCAUUGGUCAGAAACGGCUAAUGUGCGGAGCAUCACCCCAGAAGAAAUGUCCGUAUUGAAAAUAGUGUGAUGUUCACAGUACAACCAUUACAGGAAAUGGACAGAUUCAGACAGCAAGGCCACACAGAGUGUGUGUACCAGCCACGGAAUAAAAGCCUGUUGCUGUUCAUCAAGUCGUUAUUCAUCUGGUGCAUAACUACUGAACGGAAACAUUACAAAUAUGGAAAUAGCUUAUUUGAAAAAAAAUAAUAAAAGAAAAAAUAAUAAAGAAAAGGAAAAAAUGAGGCUACAGUGCAAAAUGCUCACAGACUGAAAAGUGAAGACUGACACAAUCUGCCACGCACACCCAAACGCACACAUGCACCAGUAAGCACCCUUUUGGAGGCGGGCGGCCCUGCACGGGUCGAUUUCCCACCCAGCAGGAGCUCGGUGUG
ensembl:lncRNA